AGUGAACGCUGGCGGCGUGCUUAACGCAUGCAAGUCGAACGAGAACGGGUUAUAGCUUGCUAUAAUUGUCAGCUAAGUGGCGCACGGGUGAGUAAUGUAUAGGUAAUAUGCCUCUUACUAAGGGAUAACAAAUGGAAACGUUUGCUAAUACCUCAUACUCCUUAUUAACAGAAGUUAAUAAGGGAAAGAUUUAUUGGUAAGAGAUUAGCCUGUAUUGUAUCAGUUAGUUGGUGGGGUAAUGGCUUACCAAGACUAUGACACAUAACUGGUUUGAGAGGAUGAUCAGUCACACUGGAACUGAGACACGGUCCAGACUCCUACGGGAGGCAGCAGUGGGGAAUAUUGCACAAUGGACGAAAGUCUGAUGCAGCAACGCCGCGUGGAGGAUGACACAUUUCGGUGCGUAAACUCCUUUUAUAUGAGAAGAUAAUGACGGUAUUAUAUGAAUAAGCACCGGCUAACUCCGUGCCAGCCGCCGCCGUAA
rnacentral:rRNA from 1 species